rnacentral:tRNA from 2 species
UGCGCCGUAGGGUAAUUGGCAACCCACCUGCCUCUGGAGCAGGGGAGCCCUGGUUCGAGUCCAGGCGGCGCAG